rnacentral:rRNA from 1 species
GACGAACGCUGGCGGCGUGCUUAACACAUGCAAGUCGAACGCUGAAGCACCAGCUUGCUGGUGUGGAUGAGUGGCGAACGGGUGAGUAAUACGUGAGUAACCUGCCCUUGACUCUGGGAUAAGCCCGGGAAACUGGGUCUAAUACUGGAUGCUACAUGUCACCGCAUGGUGGUGUGUGGAAAGGGUUUACUGGUCUUGGAUGGGCUCACGGCCUAUCAGCUUGUUGGUGAGGUAAUGGCUCACCAAGGCGACGACGGGUAGCCGGCCUGAGAGGGUGACCGGCCACCCUGGGACUGAGACACGGCCCAGACUCCUACGGGAGGCAGCAGUGGGGAAUAUUGCACAAUGGGCGAAAGCCUGAUGCAGCGACGCCGCGUGAGGGAGGACGGCCUUCGGGUUGUAAACCUCUUUCAGCAGGGAAGAAGCCACAAGUGACGGUACCUGCAGAAGAAGCGCCGGCUAACUACGUG